CUCCCUCCCUCCUUUCCUCCCUCCCUCCCUCCCUCCUUUCCUCCCUCCUUUCCUCCCCCCUCCCUCCCUCCCUCCCUCCCUCCUUUCCUCCCUCCUUUCUUCCUACACCUUGUUUACAAAUGAACCUGAUCAGAGGUGUUUGUUACAUAUCUCAGUUUUGUAUUUAUAAGAAGAAGAAAAAUAUUCAGAAAUGCGACCCAUGAAAAAGGCAGUGGCAUCUGCAGGUUGUGGGAUUUAGCCCCAUCCUGCAGGUUCUGGGGUUAAGUCCCAUUCUGUCUGCAGGUUGUGGGAUUUAGCCCCAUCCUGCAGGUUCUGGGGUUAAGUCCCAUUCUGUCUGCAAGUUGUGGGAUUUAGCCCCAUCCUGCAGGUUCUGGGGUUAAGUCCCAUUCUGUCUGCAGGUUGUGGGAUUUAGCCCCAUCCUGCAGGUUCUGGGGUUAAGUCCCAUUCUGUCUGCAGGUUGUGGGAUUUAGCCCCAUCCUGCAGGUUCUGGGGGUUAAGUCCCAUUCUGUCUGCAGGUUGUGGGAUUUAGCCCCAUCCUGCAGGUUCUGGGGUUAAGUCCCAUUCUGUCUGCAGGUUGUGGGAUUUAGCCCCAUCCUGCAGGUUCUGGGGUUAAGUCCCAUUCUGUCUGCAGGUUGUGGGAUUUAGCCCCAUCCUGCAGGUUCUGGGGUUAAGUCCCAUUCUGUCUGCAGGUUGUGGGAUUUAGCCCCAUCCUGCAGGUUCUGGGGUUAAGUCCCAUCCUGUCUGCAGGUUGUGGGAUUUAGCCCCAUCCUGCAGGUUCUGGGGUUAAGUCCCAUUCUGUCUGCAGGUUGUGGGAUUUAGCCCCAUCCUGCAGGUUCUGGGGUUAAGUCCCAUUCUGUCUGCAGGUUGUGGGAUUUAGCCCCAUCCUGCAGGUUCUGGGGUUAAGUCCCAUCCUGUCUGCAGGUUGUGGGAUUUAGCCCCAUCCUGCAGGUUCUGGGGUUAAGUCCCAUUCUGUCUGCAGGUUGUGGGAUUUAGCCCCAUCCUGCAGGUUCUGGGGUUAAGUCCCAUUCUGUCUGCAGGUUGUGGGAUUUAGCCCCAUCCUGCAGGUUCUGGGGUUAAGUCCCAUCCUGUUGGCAGGUUGUGGGGUUUAGCACCAUCCUGCAGAUUCUGGGGGUUAAGUCCCUGGCCUGUGUUUGCUGAACCAUCAGUGGGCAUGGCAACACGAAUCCUGGCUACACCACCGCGUGUCUCUGUCCCUACCCUCUACAUCCUCUGCUUCCAUAGGUGUUGUGAUGAGAUACCCCCUCCCCUGUCCUUGUAUGUGCAUGCACUAUGGUUCUUCCACUUAACAAUAACAAUCAAUAAAGUUUGUCAAGAUAAGCA